GAGAAGGAGGCGGAGCAGAAGGAGACGGAAGAAGCGCCGGACGGGAAGGCGGCGCAGGAAAAGAAAAAAGUCAGGAAAUCGAAGAAGAUAAAAGUCAAAAACGAUCACGGCGACCGUGAUGGAGACGGCCAGGAGGAGCCUGCCCCGGACUUCACUUGGUACGAGAAAGAGAAUGGAGACCCUGGAGCAGCGGAGGAACAGCCGAGCACGGAUCCAGGAGCUGAGGUGGCAGAACCCCUGUCUGUGGGGACCGCGGUCGGGCCGAGGAGGGGUGGACGGG